GCGGCCACGGAGGGUGGCACAGGGGCUGCGGCCAGCCGGGCGCUGCAGCAGUGCGGGCAGCUCCAGAAGCUCAUCGUCAUCUUCAUUGGCAGCCUGUGCGGGCUGUGCACCAAGUGCGCUGUGUCUAACGACCUCACCCAGCAGGAGAUACAGACCCUGGAGGUGAGGAAACCGAAGGCCCGAGGGAGAAAUGACUUGCCAGGAACCCCUGUUAAGGAAAAUUAACAAAGUGUGGUUAUUAAAGAAGAACUGAGUUGGGAGUCAGACCUGGAGGCCCGCACCCGCGGUUAAGACAUUAUACCACCUUGAGUCUGGCCUGUUGACUGAGGCUAGGUGAUGAUAUUCUGAUCUAUGAGAUGCAAGAAGAUGUGAUGUGUGGGACAUCCAUGAAAACUGAUUAAUGAGACCUGACACAAAUUAGAGAUCAAGCCCACUACGACCACCACCAUUUUUCUCUUCUAUCCUAUUUUUUUGUGACCUCUAGCAUGACCAUGAUGCCAAGAUCUCUAGCAGCCACAUAGUGACCUGAGGUAAAUCUGAGUAUGAAAAUCAUGUGCCAGGAUGGUGUAGAAAGAGGGUUUUGGAUCCUAUUGACAAUGGAAAGUUGGUCUUCCUACCUCUGAACCUCUUUAUGUAAGAGAAGUAACCUGAGUUUUAAAAGCCAUUAUUAUUUCCAUUUUCUCUGCUGAUGCAGACAAACACAAGUCCUAAUUUUAUAGAGACCUAAUACGUUCUGGACCUCAGAAAGAGAUUCCUGGAGGAAAUGUUGUUUUCAACCACUAACUCUGCUAAUUUCAGGCCAAGUGAGGCAUUAUAUAGACAGUCUGACCACUGCCACAGUUGCAUACGUUCUAAAUUUGAAAUAAAUCCCUUACUCUGUAUCACUUAUAGUGGAUCUGCUUCUCUGAUAAAACCCUCACUAAGACAAUUAUCAUCCACUGUUUGUUUUUCCUGUGGUAAGUAUAUCAUUGCUGUAUAAAAAUAACCUUUUAAUUAUUAACUCAGUUGGCCCAGUUUAGCAUCUUUUCCAUCUUCCAUUCUCAAUUUGAUAAUUACCAUCUUUCAUAAUAAUUAUCCUUCAGGUUUCACAAUACAUGUAUGUUGAAUGUUAAGGCUAUUCUUCAUUGAUAUUUACACUUUGACUCCAUGGUGAGAGAAGCUGCAGUAUCUGAGAAAUAAAUAAUUUGUAUGUGGGAGGUGUGAUUUUACAGCUAGAUUAUAGCUCAGUUUCUAGUUCUUUCUUUUAGAGAGAUUUCUCUUGGUCAUCUUUAUAGAGGUAUGAAGAUAUUUAGUUUUACUGUUAUUAUAUUAACAUUUUAAAAAGCAGCUUUCUACAAGGUAUGGCAUCAGGUGGAAUUAUUCUUGCUGUGCUCUCAAAUAAUCUCCAUGCUAAGUUUUUGGGCCUCACUGCAGCCCCUGAACACGUAUGUCUCUCUGUACCUCCUCUGUAUGAUGUAGUGAAUUUUUUGGACCUUUGAAUCACACACAGGCUUUCUUGGCUGUUUUAUACCAAAGGACUUUCACUAAAUUCCUAAGAAAAAUUUAGCACAGCCGAUGCUGUUUUCCAAUGCCAACCUUGGAGUUUGCAAUUUGCCCAGACAAAAAUACCAUAGCUGAUGGUGAUGAUGAUGUCAAUAUUUUUUUAAAAUACAAUUUAAAAAAUGGUUCAACAUAAAUUAUCUCAUUUAGUCCCCUGAACAACCUUGUGAUGUGAUUUUGAACAGGAAUAUCAAGACCUCAGGAUCUGGCAUCAAAUUCUGGGGUUUGAAUAUUAUUUCUAUCACAAACUAUUUAUAUUACUGCUUAUAUGUAAGUGACAACCUUUCUAUUCCUUAUUUUUUCCACUUGUAAAAUCAGAAAAAUGACAAUGAUGAGAGCACCAAACUUAUGAGCUUGCGAAGAUUAAAUGUGUGUAUGGGUUUUUAUCAGUUUGAGAGACAUUAUAUUUCCAUUUGUUGUCAUUCUGUCCCUUCCAUCAGGGUAGGACCUUUCUUCAGUGCAUUACUUUGUCCCCUGAACCUAGAAUGGUACCUGGAAUAUCAUUGGUGCCCAAUAAGUACUUGCUGAAUAAAUGACUGAAUAAAUAAAUGUAAUCUGUCAAUAUUUUCAUCUGAAGAUAUGAUAUCUGUUUUUUACCUUAUUUUUUCAAUCAUCCGAAAGGUAGUAUGCACAUUUGAAAGGUAGUCAUUGUUAUUUUCUUACACCAGUACUUGCACUUUUACAAUAUGUAGCAAUAAUCAUAAGCAAAGUAUCAUGACAGAGUGAGAAUAAACUUAAAUCUGUAAUUGCAAUUUUUCUUCACCGUGGCCUCCAUUGUUUGUCAUGUGUCUUGGCUACGUCAGGAUGGAAAGCAUUGCUUUUUUCUAUUUACAGGACCAGAAUUAAAUCCAUGUUUCUUGGCUGACCAUUUGGUUAGUUUUUGUUUGUUCAUUUGUUUUUUCAUGAAAUGUUCAUGGUGGUUGGGCUGGAAUAGGUAUAGCAUUUUAUUUAUUUAUACUCAGCUGAAACUAAGAGAAAUAUUUCAGACCAAGAAGUGGGGACAAGAGCAAUACUUGUGUAAUAAUACGAUGUACCAUUUUACAUUAUUUGGAAGUGCUGAUGCCUGCAUCUAUAGCAUCAGUCAAGAAAGAGAGGUAAUGAAAGAGAUUUCAAAUGAAUAUCAGAUAGGCUUUAGUAUUACAUAGGAUAAGACAGACAGGAUUGGUCAGGGUAUGCUGGAAAAGAUUUUUUAUCUUAUUUUAUUGGCUUUAUUUAAAUUUUUUUUUUUUUCCCAGCUGGAAAUCUAUUUAUUUAUUUUUCUUCAGUGUUACAAUGAAACAACAUUGCUUUAUUUAAAUUUUAUAAAAAUUCAAACCAUACAGUACUUUAUAAUAAAAUUGACUGCCUUUGGCUACUCUAUCUCUAUUUCCAGUGCAACUGUGGAAGUGGCACUGACAGAUAUGGUUUUAGCUACUUAGAAAUUUUUCUAGACACACACACACACACACACACACACACACACAAUUUAUAUGCAAAAUGCUCAUAUGCAUGUCAUAUUUUUUCUUUAUUCAGCAAGUUAUAGUGGAUAUUCUUUUAUAGCAUACGUAGCAAUGGACUUCUCUUUUUAAAGACUGCCUAGAAUUCUGUAGUUAUAAUACAGUCAUUCAUGUAACUAAUUCUCUAAAAACAAGCCAGAUGAUAUUUACUAAGAACUUACUAUGGGUCAGGCACAGCUCUAAUAGUCUAAUCUCAUCUAAUCUCAAUACGUUCAUGAGUUAGGAAUGGUUGUUAUUCCCAUAUGUUCCCAAUGAGGAAACUGAAGCAGAGAGUUUAAAUAAUGUGCCCUAAUUUACAGAAUUAUUAAACUGGUACUGGAAUUAUGCAAAGAUAAUCAGGCAUC
rnacentral:lncRNA from 1 species